rnacentral:rRNA from 1 species
GAUGAACGCUGGCGGCGUGCCUAAUACAUGCAAGUCGAGCGAACGGACGAGAAGCUUGCUUCUCUGAUGUUAGCGGCGGACGGGUGAGUAACACGUGGAUAACCUACCUAUAAGACUGGGAUAACUUCGGGAAACCGGAGCUAAUACCGGAUAAUAUUUUGAACCGCAUGGUUCAAAAGUGAAAGACGGUCUUGCUGUCACUUAUAGAUGGAUCCGCGCUGCAUUAGCUAGUUGGUAAGGUAACGGCUUACCAAGGCAACGAUGCAUAGCCGACCUGAGAGGGUGAUCGGCCACACUGGAACUGAGACACGGUCCAGACUCCUACGCGAGGCAGCAGUAGGGAAUCUUCCGCAAUGGGCGAAAGCCUGACGGAGCAACGCCGCGUGAGUGAUGAAGGUCUUCGGAUCGUAAAACUCUGUUAUUAGGGAAGAACAUAUGUGUAAGUAACUGUGCACAUCUUGACGGUACCUAAUCAGAAAGCCACGGCUAUCUACGUG